AACCAAAGUGUUGAGUCCAGUUCAGGGCUGCUUCUCUGUUCUGGUAAUUAACCUUUGGGACAGUAAGACACAAGUCUGGGGGGAAGACUGAGUAGAAGCUAAUUCUUUUAUUCAUUUCUCCCCCAGUCUACAAAA